rnacentral:rRNA from 1 species
GGAUCCAGACUUUGAUUAUGGCUCAGGAUGAACGCUAGCUACAGGCUUAACACAUGCAAGUCGAGGGGCAGCGGGAUUGAAGCUUGCUUCAAUUGCCGGCGACCGGCGCACGGGUGAGUAACGCGUAUCCAACCUUCCGUACACUCAGGGAUAGCCUUUCGAAAGAAAGAUUAAUACCUGAUAGUAUCUUAAGCACACAUGUAAUUAAGAUUAAAGAUUUAUCGGUGUACGAUGGGGAUGCGUUCCAUUAGGUAGUAGGCGGGGUAACGGCCCACCUAGCCAACGAUGGAUAGGGGUUCUGAGAGGAAGGUCCCCCACAUUGGAACUGAGACACGGUCCAAACUCCUACGGGAGGCAGCAGUGAGGAAUAUUGGUCAAUGGACGAGAGUCUGAACCAGCCAAGUAGCGUGAAGGAUGAAGGUCCUACGGAUUGUAAACUUCUUUUAUAAGGGAAUAAACCCUCCCACGUGUGGGAGCUUGUAUGUACCUUAUGAAUAAGCAUCGGCUAACUCCGUGCCAGCAGCCGCGGUAAUACGGAGGAUGCGAGCGUUAUCCGGAUUUAUUGGGUUUAAAGGGAGCGCAGACGGGUCGUUAAGUCAGCUGUGAAAGUUUGGGGCUCAACCUUAAAAUUGCAGUUGAUACUGGCGUCCUUGAGUGCGGUUGAGGUGUGCGGAAUUCGUGGUGUAGCGGUGAAAUGCUUAGAUAUCACGAAGAACUCCGAUUGCGAAGGCAGCUCACUAAUCCGUAACUGAUGUUCAUGCUCGAAAGUGUGGGUAUCAAACAGGAUUAGAUACCCUGGUAGUCCACACGGUAAACGAUGGAUACUCGCUGUUGGCGAUAUACUGUCAGCGGCUUAGCGAAAGCGUUAAGUAUCCCACCUGGGGAGUACGCCGGCAACGGUGCAACUCAAAUGAAUUGACG